GAACUUUCUGUAUUUUAAUAGCCUCAUCAGAAUUUUAUUAAUCUCACAAUUUUAUUAAAGGUCUUGGAUGUUCAGGUGUACUAUACUAUAAAGUUUAUAAUUUUCAAAACAUGGUCUUGUCAGUCAAGCAAUUUGUUAAACAAUUUCUUUUCAUCUGACAUAUCUAUUUAUCCUGAAUUAUCAGAUAGAAAAUAAUAGAAGAACACACAAUUAUGACCAGUUCAUCAUUACAUUUCUGGCCAUGCUUGCUGAACAAGGGAAGAUAGGAGACCUUGUUAAACAGCAGAUGCAGCCCUCUCGCAAGAGACCAGCUCCUACACCAGCCACUCCUCGAGGAUCUAGGCCACCAUUAAAGAAGACAGAGUCAAAGUCAUCUCCCAACUCUAGAAAACGAGGCAGAAAGAAAAAGGCUAAAGGAAAAAGGAAGAGAUAAACGAUAGUCCGGCUGGAACGUCUCAAGGAAAAGAAAUUGCAUCUCAUACAAAAGCACUUUUAUGUAACAUAAAAUGUUUAAAGGGUACUAGAAUUGGGCAAAGCUCCUAAUAUUUAAUAAAAUCUGAUAUUGAACACAAUCAAAUAAAUUCUAUAAUAAUUAA